rnacentral:tRNA from 1 species
GGCCCCUUAGCUCAGCUGGACUAGAGCACCGGUCUUCUAAACCGGUUGUCGGUGGUUCGAAUCCACCAGGGGUCA